GCCAGCAGGGCAAGACCGACUAAGGCCUCAUCACGAUGACCACCAAUGUGGCUCUCUCACGACCUAGUAUUGAUUAUAUGAGGUGACUCACAACUGCAGCAGCAAUAUGCACGCACCCUAAACCUGCAUAUGUAUGUUUGAGUAUUACAUCAUUCUUUGCGAGCUAGGGUGUCCGGAUAAUCGAGAUUCUACUGUACUUUGUUUGAACAUGUGGAAAACACGGCAUUAUCGAUACCUUACAGGGUGCGUAUCACGAGGUAUUUGUGGGGGCGUGCUUUGAACUGGUAUCAGGUUCCAGUCAGUUAUCUCCUCUGGCACUUCCUCACCGAAGGACAGGCAUACUCCACCGCCGUGGAGGCGUGUCUAGAGAAGUCAUGUGACUACCUGUUCACCGUAGACUCUCUGGCAAUGCUCACACAACCAUACACUCUGCAGCGGCUGAUAGAGGUCAACAGGAAUGUGGUGUCCCCCAUGUUGGUGAGACGUAUCGAC